UACGUAGGCGGAAGAUUAAGUCAGUGGUGAAAACCUGCAGCUUAACUGUAGAACUGCCAUUGAUACUGUUAGUCUUGAGUACGGUCAAGGUAGGCGGAAUGUGUAAUGUAGCGGUGAAAUGCUUAGAUAUUACACAGAACACCGAUUGCGAAGGCAGCUUACUGGGCCAUUACUGACGCUGAGGCACGAAAGCGUGGGUAGCGAACAGGAUUAGAUACCCUGGUAGUCC
rnacentral:rRNA from 1 species